AACGUAGGACGCAAGCGUUAUCCGGAGUUACUGGGCGUAAAGCGCGGGCAGGCGGCUCGAUGCGUCUGAUGUGAAAUCUCCUCGCUCAACGGGGAGAGGCCAUUGGAAACGGUCGGGCUGGAGGGCAGUAGAGGCAGGCGGAAUUCCGGGUGGAGUGGUGAAAUGCGUAGAGAUCCGGAGGAACACCAGAGGCGAAGGCGGCCUGCUGGGCUGCACCUGACGCUGAGGCGCGAAAGCGUGGGGAGCAAACAGG
rnacentral:rRNA from 1 species